rnacentral:rRNA from 2 species
GGCGUAAGCGCGCGCAGGCGGUUUCUUAAGUCUGAUGUGAAAGCCCACGGCUCAACCGGGGAGGGGCAUUGGAAACUGGGGAACUUGAGUGCAGAAGAGAAAAGCGGAAUUCCACGUGUAGCGGUGAAAUGCGUAGAGAUGUGGAGGAACACCAGUGGCGAAGGCGGCUUUUUGGUCUGUAACUGACGCUGAGGCGCGAAAGCGUGGGGAGCAAACAGGAUUAGAUACCCUGGUAGUCCACGCCGUAAACGAUGACUGCUAAGUGUUAGAGGGCUUCCGCCCUUUAUGGCUGCACCUAACGCAUUAGUCACUCGGCCGGGGGAGUACGGCCGCAAGACUGAAACUCAAAGGAAUUGACGGGGGCCCGCACAACCGGGGAACCUGGUGGUUUAUUUCAAACCACCCCAAAAAACCUUACCAGGUCUUGACUGCCGAUGACUUCUCUAAA